rnacentral:rRNA from 1 species
UACGAGGGGGGCAAGCGUUGUUCGGAAUUAUUGGGCGUAAAGGGUGCGUAGGCGGUGCGGUAAGUCUGUUGUGAAAUCUCCGGGCUCAACUCGGAGUCUGCAUCAGAAACUGCCGUGCUGGAGUGUGGGAGAGGUGAGUGGAAUUCCUGGUGUAGCGGUGAAAUGCGCAGAUAUCAGGAGGAACACCGGUGGCGAAGGCGGUGGUCUGGGCCGGUACUGACGCUGAGGAGCGAAAGCGUGGGGAGCGAACAGG